UUAAGUUCAGCGGGUAGUCCUACCUGAUUUGAGGUCACAUUAAUGAUGAAUUGUCCAAGGACGGUUAGAAAGCUGAACUGCCCUCACAUUCAAUAGCAUAGAUAAUUAUCACGCCAAUGAACAGGUUGUUCUGCUAAUGCAUUUCAGGGGAGCACACCUCAAAAGAAAGGCCUGCAAAAAAUAAAACCCCCACGUCCAAA
rnacentral:misc_RNA from 1 species